rfam:Gossypium arboreum cultivar AKA8401 contig_88163_1, whole genome shotgun sequence.
AUGUCGUGAUAAGGGGACUUUAGUAAAAACUGAUUAAACUGCUCCCAUGCUUCAUAUAAAGAUUCUUCGUCAAGUUGCUGAAACGAAGUGAUUUUAUUUCGGAUCUU